rnacentral:misc_RNA from 1 species
GAUGAAGAACGCAGCGAAAUGCGAUAAGUAAUGCGAAUUGCAGAAUUUCCGUGAGUCAUCGAAUCUUUGAACGCACAUUGCGCCCCUUGGUAUUCCGGCGGGCAUGCCUGUUCGAGCGUCAUUUCAACCCUCAAGCUCUCCGGAGUUUGGUGUUGGGGCGCCUGGGGCUUUUCGACCUCAGGGCCCUCAAGUCCAUCGGCGGGACCGCCAGGACACUGAGCGCAGUAGUAUUAUUUCGCUCGGUAGGAUCUUCCACGGCGGGUCGAUCUGGCCGCUAAACCCCCCAAUUCUCACCAAAGGUUGACCUCGGAUCAGGUAGGAAUACCCGCUGAACUUAAGCAUAUCAAUAAGCGGAGGA